rnacentral:sRNA from 1 species
GUAGCGAGCUGAUGACUCUUUUUGUUCAGCUUCACACAACCCAGAGUCACCUGGGAGUAGGGAACUUCAAUUGAAGAACUGCUCUGUGGGGCAUUUUCUUGAUCAGUGGUUGAGGGAACGGCAUGCCUUUGGUGGUAGCCGGUAGCGGCACCCCUAGCCAGGUGAUCUAGGGGUUAUGAGAGAGCAGGCUGGCAAGCCGUGUGAGAAAAAGCAAACAAGAUGUAAAAUUCUCAGCUCUUCCAGUACCAGCCUGGAAUGGUGACAUUCUUCCUGCCAUGACAAUAAUGGUCUGAACUUCUGACUCGAGAUAAAAGGCAGAAUCACAGGUCUUCCUGGUUGCUGCCGCUGCAGAGAGCCCCUGGGCAGCACCCCACGAGCGAACCUGAGCCUCGGGACCACAGGGAUUCCCAGAGAAGAUAAGAAGAAACCAACAAUGGAUAAGAGUAAGAUCAGAGGACUCAGGAGGAAAGAAUAAAGAAAAGUUCAAUCCUUCAGA